rnacentral:sRNA from 1 species
UGGUAGAUGAACCCUGAUAAUUAUCCCCGGAGCUCCAGUUUCCGGGGUUUUCUCU